UUUGGAUGUUUUAUUAUCUUUGCAUGACUAAUCUGGGUUAUGGAUGUCAUGAAAAUUAUGGUUCUUUUUUUACUAGAUGGGGGCUAGUUUUAGCAGGUAUUGAAGAAUGGUUUCUAAUUAGUAUAAAUACAUUUAAAACAAGUCAGAACAAUAAGAAAUCAUACAGAUAACUCUUGUAGUGAACAGAAUAGACCCAUAAGUGGCUCACAGCUGAAAACUUUAGGCAGUGGUUUGAAAGCUUGUCUGAAAGGGCCUAUUUCCAUGUGCUGUACAUUUGUGAAAAAACACACAGAAGACACAAAGGGGGUUUUCUUUUUUUAUUUUAUUUCUUAUAUUUGUUUUAAGGAAGUUAAAAGCUAGAACUGUGUAUUUAAUUAAAAACCCUAAUACUGUAGACUUCAUAGCCUUGUUACUCAACUUGGAGCUCCAUGACUCAGUGCCAGGGCCAACACAUAAAAAGGACCGUUUGAUAGAAUCAGAGGGAAGAAAAGAAGUGUAUUAUAUGUGUGAAGAAUUUGUGAACCUCCUCUUAUGCUGUCUUUCAGCUAAAGGUCUACCUCAGCCAGCGAAGAGAGAGGCUGGUGUGGGAGGAGAGAGAAAAGGAUGCUGAUGGCUGCGGAGCAGCAGCAGGACUUUGUUUUUCCACUAGGUCAGAUUUGUGUGUGCAGAGCUUUGCAGUUUGGAGAAUCCUUCUGCUGAGCCAGCGAAUGAGCUGUUCCCUCCAGAAGGUGGAAUAAGCCUGCAAUAAGAUGCAGCUUCUAAGACCAUCGGAAAGUGCUGAUAUUUCACCUGCGCUUUCAAAAUGACCUUCGCAGGUUCUCAGAUCGUGAAUGAAGCCAGGAAUUAAUUCACAACAGAAGUCUGUAAGUUGCUGAACCAAGGUAGCUGAAUGUGGGACACAGCUGGGGUUAUCUUUUUGACAUAGAUGCAAACAUAUCUUUGUAUAAUGUGUUGGGUUUGCACACAGUAUACUACACUGUAUAAUUAUUUGGGUAAUUUUGCUCUAUAGGAGUUAUUUUCUACUUUUAUAAUGAAAGGAUGAGGAUGUUGUAAAUGUGUAACGCGUGUGUUAUCACAUCAUGCAAGAAAACCUUCCACAGGAAGGGGCUGUAGCUCAGAGCAUUUUCCCCUGGUUAAUUCAAUUCCUCUAAAGGAGAUGAUUAUCUGCUCUCCACCUAUAUUAGGAGCUGUAUUCAUCCAGAAGAAUGAAAUGGUUUCCACACAGCAUUACAGAUUAGGAUGGUUUUACUGGAUAUUACACAUUACAAAAUAGCUAUGCCUUUUUAACAAGCUGGUGAUCCUUUAAGGAUGUAAAACCCUAUCGCAAAAGCGCUAAAGCAAAAUAUACAGCAGGAAGACCACUGGGAUUAUCUUCUGAAUGUUUAAAAUGGAUGACUGGUCUUACAAAUUGUUUAUGACUGUAAAGUCUGAAGCUAUGGUGAAAGGCUUGCUGCACUAAUUGAUUUUUUUAAUAUGAUUAUAUUUUGCCACUGAGUGAUCUUUAUUUGUCAUUAUGGUGCAAUUCAUUGGUAUUUCAUCCGGAACUAUUACUGU